rnacentral:rRNA from 1 species
GUUCCCUCCGCCGCUUUAAUACCGGCGUUGCCAGCGUUGUUCGGAAUUAUUGGGCGUAAAGCGCGUGUAGGCGGCUGAGCAAGUCAGAUGUGAAAGCCCCGGGCUUAACCCGGGAAGGGCAUUUGAAACUGUUCGGCUUGAGUAGGGGAGAGGAAAGUGGAAUUCCUGGUGUAGAGGUGAAAUUCGUAGAUAUCAGGAGGAACACCGGCGGCGAAGGCGACUUUCUGGCCCUAUACUGACGCUGAGACGCGAGAGCGUGGGUAGCAAACAGGAUUAGAUACCCUGGUAGUCCACGCCGUAAACGAUGUUCACUAGGUGUUGGGGGUAUUGACCCUCUCAGUGCCGCAGCUAACGCAUUAAGUGAACCGCCUGGGGAGUACGGUCGCAAGAUUAAAACUUAAAUGAAUUGACGG